rnacentral:rRNA from 1 species
UACGUAGGGGCCUAGCGUUGUCCGGAUUUAUUGGGCGUAAAGAGCUCGUAGGCGGUUUGGUAAGUCGGGUGUGAAAUCUCCACGCUCAACGUGGAGGGGCCACCCGAUACUGCCAUGACUGGAGUCCGGUAGGGGAGUGUGGAAUUCCCGGUGUAGCGGUGAAAUGCGCAGAUAUCGGGAGGAACACCCGUGGCGAAGGCGGCUCUCUGGAACGGUACUGACGCUGAGACGCGAAAGCGUGGGGAGCAAACAGG